rnacentral:rRNA from 1 species
CAGCCGCCGCGGGAAAACGUAGGUGGCAAGCGUUGUCCGGAAUUAUUGGGCGUAAAGGGCUCGCAGGCGGUUUCUUAAGUCUGAUGUGAAAGCCCCCGGCUCAACCGGGGAGGGUCAUUGGAAACUGGGAAACUUGAGUGCAGAAGAGGAGAGUGGAAUUCCACGUGUAGCGGUGAAAUGCGUAGAGAUGUGGAGGAACACCAGUGGCGAAGGCGACUCUCUGGUCUGUAACUGACGCUGAGGAGCGAAAGCGUGGGGAGCAAACAGGAUUAGAUACCCCUGUAGUCCCUGUCUCUUAUAC